AAAGGCGCUUCGGGAGGGGCCUGCGUCCGAUUAGCUCGUUGGUGGGGUAACGGCUCACCAAGGCGACGAUCGGUAGGUGGUCUGAGAGGACGAUCACCCAGACUGGGACUGAGACACGGCCCAGACUCCUACGGGAGGCAGCAGUCGGGAAUUUUGGGCAAUGGGCGAAAGCCUGACCCAGCAACGCCGCGUGAGGGAUGAAGGCCUUCGGGUCGUAAACCUCUUUUCUCAGGGACGAUAAUGACGGUACCUGAUGAAUAAGCCACGGCUAACUACGUGCCAGCAGCCGCGGUAAUACGUAGGUGGCGAGCGUUGUCCGGAUUUACUGGGCGUAAAGAGCGCGCAGGCGGUCGUAUGAGUCGAAUGUGAAAGCCCCCGGCUCAACUGGGGAGGGUCAUUCGAUACUGUUCGACUGGAAGGCAGGAGAGGGAAGCGGAAUUCCCGGUGUAGUGGUGAAAUGCGUAGAUAUCGGGAGGAACACCAGUGGCGAAGGCGGCUUCCUGGCCUGUUCUUGACGCUGAGGCGCGAAAGCUAGGGGAGCAAACGGGAUUAGAUACCCCGGUAGUCCUAGCCGUAAACGAUGGACACUAGGUGUUGGCGGUAUCAACCCCGCCAGUGCCGAAGCUAACGCAUUAAGUGUCCCGCCUGGGGAGUACGGCCGCA
rnacentral:rRNA from 1 species